ACGAGCGACCUCGAUUCGUCGGGGAAGCUAGUGGCAGACGGCUGAGUAACACGUAAGUAACCUGCCCUGAAGAGGGGGAUAAUCUCGAGAAAUCGGGCCUAAUACCCCGUAAGCUUCUCUUCAACAUGUUGGAGAGAAGGAAAGGUUCUCGAUUCGUCGGGCGCCGCUUUAGGAGGGGCUUGCGACCUAUCAGGUAGUUGGUGGGGUAAUGGCCUACCAAGCCGUAGACGGGUAACCGGUGUGAGAGCAUGAUCGGUCAGAGGGGGACUGAGACACGGCCCCCACUCCUACGGGAGGCAGCAGCAGGGAAUCUUGCGCAAUGGGCGAAAGCCUGACGCAGCGACACCGCGUGGGGGAAGAAGGCUCUUGGGUUGUAAACCCCUUUUCUCGGGGAAGAGUAAGGACGGUACCCGAGGAAUAAGGUUCGGCUAACUACGUGCCAGCAGCCGCGGUAACACGUAGGAACCGAGCGUUGUCCGGAUUUACUGGGCGUAAAGGGCGAGUAGGUGGCCCGUUAAGUCUUGUGUGAAAUCUCCCGGCUCAACUGGGAGGGGUCAUGAGAUACUGGCAGGCUCGAGGGCAGUAGAGGAAAGUGGAAUUCCCGGAGGAGUGGUGGAAUGCGUAGAUACCGGGAGGAACACCAGUGGCGAAAGCGACUUUCUGGGCUGUUCCUGACACUGAGGCGCGAAAGCAUGGGGAGCAAACCGGAUUAGAUACCCGGGUAGUCCAUGCCCUAAACGAUGGAUA
rnacentral:rRNA from 1 species